GAUGAACGCUAGCGGCAGGCUUAAUACAUGCAAGUCGAGGGGGAUCAGCUGGGUAGCAAUACUCGGCUGUGAGACCGGCAAACGGGUGCGGAACACGUACGCAACCUUCCCAAAACUGGUGAAUAGCCCUCCGAAAGGAGGAUUAAUACACCGUAACAUAAUGAGAUGGCAUCAUUUUAUUAUUAUAGCUCCGGCGGUUUUGGAUGGGCGUGCGCCUGAUUAGGUAGUUGGCGGGGUAACGGCCCACCAAGCCUGCGAUCAGUAACUGGUGUGAGAGCACGACCAGUCACACGGGCACUGAGACACGGGCCCGACUCCUACGGGAGGCAGCAGUAAGGAAUAUUAGUCAAUGGACGAAAGUCUGAACCAGCCAUGCCGCGUGAAGGAUGACGGCCCUCUGGGUUGUAAACUUCUUUUAUCUGGGACGAAAAAAGAUCAUUCUUGAUCACUUGACGGUACCAGAGGAAUAAGCACCGGCUAACUCCGUGCCAGCCGCCGCCGUAAUAC
rnacentral:rRNA from 1 species